rnacentral:sRNA from 1 species
AUAAUUAAAAGUAGGAGCCUGGACAGGCGGCUGCAAGAACCAAUAGUAUUAACAAAGUGGAGACACAGCACCAUUGUAUUGGACACUAAUGAUAAGGAUCAAGAGAAAUAUGGAUUAUUAAAUGUAACAAAAAUUGCUGAAAAUGGGAAAAAGGUUCGAAAGAACUGGUUGUCUUCUUGGGCGGUGUUGCAGGGUUCAUCUUUACUUUUUACCAAAACUCAAGGAAGUAGCACAAGUUGGUUCGGCAGUAAUCAGUCCAAACCAGAGUUCACAGUGGACCUCAAGGGGGCAACAAUUGAGAUGGCUUCAAAGGAUAAAUCCAGCAAAAAGAAUGUAUUUGAGCUGAAAACUCGUCAAGGAACAGAACUGCUAAUUCAGUCUGACAAUGACACUGUUAUUAAUGAUUGGUUUAAAGUUCUUAGUAGUACAAUCAAUAAUCAGGCAGUAGAAACUGAUGAAGGAAUUGAAGAGGAGAUACCGGAUUCACCAGGAAUAGAAAAGCAUGAUAAAGAAAAGGAACAAAAGGAUCCCAAAAAGCUUCGUUCCUUUAAAGUAUCUAGCAUAGAUUCUUCAGAACAGAAAAAAACCAAGAAAAACUUAAAGAAGUUUCUUACACGACGCCCCACUUUGCAAGCUGUUCGUGAAAAAGGUUAUAUUAAAGGUUGGUAGGAGAAGUAUUGUUGAUAAUAAUGAAUGUUGGCCUACAUCAUAAAUAAAAUGUUUCAAAUUAAA